ensembl:lncRNA
CUUUGAGCACCUCAGGGCUGGGGCACCACAGCUCUCUGGGUAGCUGUGCCAGGGCCUCAUCACCUCUGAUCUGUCAGCUAUCUUGGAACGUGGCUUUGAAGACCAAGACCAUGCAUACUUCCAUACUGCAGAGAACACGUGUUUGACCAACCUAUGAACCACCACGAGAGAUGCUGGCACAGACACGUUGUCUUGGUAUGCUGUAUUUCUGGAUCUAAGAUCAAUCUGAGAGAACAGAUUCCCUGCUCAUGGGUAUGGUAAAUUUAACAGCGGGGAGGAAUAAUGGCCUUCUGAAGAUUGCCAAUGAGCAAAGAAUGAAUGCAGAAACCUUCUGUCCCAUCAGGAAUAAGAGGAGC